rnacentral:rRNA from 1 species
CCUACGGGAGUCAGCAGUAGGGAAUCUUCCACAAUGGGCGAAAGCCUGAUGGAGCAACGCCGCGUGGGUGAAGAAGGUCUUCGGAUCGUAAAACCCUGUUGUUAGAGAAGAAAGUGCGUGAGAGUAACUGUUCACGUUUCGACGGUAUCUAACCAGAAAGCCACGGCUAACUACGUGCCAGCAGCCGCGGUAAUCCGUAGGGGGCAAGCGUUAUCCGGAUUUAUUGGGCGUAAAGGGAACGCAGGCGGUCUUUUAAGUCUGAUGUGAAAGCCGUGGGCUUAACCGGAGGAGUGCAUUGGAAACUGUAAGGCUUGAGUGCAGGAGAGGUGAGUGGAACUCCAUGUGUAGCGGUGAAAUGCGUAGAUAUAUGGAAGAACACCAGUGGCGAAGGCGGCUCUCUGGUCUGUAACUGACGCUGAGGUUCGAAAGCGUGGGUAGCAAACAGGAUUAGAUACCCGAGUAGUC